ACUACGGGUGGCAGCAGUGAGGAAUAUUGGUCAAUGGACGAGAGUCUGAACCAGCCAAGUAGCGUGAAGGAUGACUGCCCUAUGGGUUGUAAACUUCUGUUAUAUGGGAAUAAAAUGUUCCACGUGUGGGAUGUUGUAUGUACCAUAUGAAUAAGGAUCGGCUAACUCCGUGCCAGCAGCCGCGGUAAUACGGAGGAUCCGAGCGUUCUCCGGAUUGAGUGGGUUUAAAGGGAGCGUAGGUGGAUUGUUAAGUCAGUUGUGAAAGUUUGCGGCUCAACCGUAAAAUUGCAAUUGAUACUUGCAGUCUUGAGUACCGUUGAGGUAGGCGGAAUUCGUGUUGUAGCGG
rnacentral:rRNA from 1 species